rnacentral:lncRNA from 1 species
UUUAAAUAUUAGAGUUUUUAAAUAGUUUUCAUAAUAGAGUUUUAACAUAACACAUAUAGUGUGUCAGACAGUGUUUAUGUGUGAUUUUUAGUCUAUGAAGACAUGGAAAUUUAAAAAAGUGGAUUUUCCAAGAAUUGGAUUGAUUUAUGGGAGGAGUUCAAGUCAGAUGCCCACAAAUUGGGUUCAAAGAAAGUGGAUAUGUGUGAGAGGAAAUGGCAGCAUUAUUCUGAAUACGGUUGGGCAUCUCUCCCUCAGAUAAUCCCAUAAACUGGACUCCAUCAUCUCCUGUCCUACCAGAUGUGGAUGUCUUUGGGGAAGUAAUUACGAUAAGAAAGGCCAGAAGGUCUUCUUCAGGACUGUCUUGAACCCACUGAUUCCUGCUGGCUUUUCCAGACUCAACACACACUAUCUUCUGUGUGAGUGGGUUGUGGAAUGUCAAAGGAAGCAGAGAAGCCACUUGGAAGUUGACUGUGAUAAUCCUUCGAAAAGAUGUCAUGAAUUUGAAACAGAUCAUCAUAUGUGCUAUCAUCAUAAUGUAGCACAUCAUAAUGUUCUAACGUUGUCUGUUAUAUCUAUGCCUGUGACCUUCACGUCGGCAGAAAGUUGGUAUCCCAAGGGUAUAGCAUAGUGAUCCAUGGAUAAAACGUCUUAGGAAAUAUUUGUUGAAUGAGUUAGUAUAUUAAAG